rnacentral:tmRNA from 1 species
GGGGGCGACAGGCUUCGACGGGGGACCUGAACCAACGAGUGCAAGCCGGGGACCCAUCAACCUCGUCAAGAAAAAUGGGAAAAACUCAUCUGCCAACGAGCAGAUGGCUCUCGCUGCCUAGUUAAAAACUAGACCCAGCGACGCCUUCCCGGACCCUGCCUGUGGGGGCCGGAGCGGGCGCCAGACAAACACAGGCUGGUCCAAUGCGGCGGCCCGACCGCGGCGGACGAGACCUUUUCGGGCUGGCGAGCAGCGACCCUGUCGGCCGGGGCAACGCUCGCGAGACUCAAAUGACCGACUACGCUUGUAGGACUCGUUGCGGACGGACUUUCGGACGCGGGUUCGAUUCCCGCCGCCUCCACCA